AUUGAACGCUGGCGGCAUGCCUUACACAUGCAAGUCGAACGGUAACAGGCCGCAAGGUGCUGACGAGUGGCGAACGGGUGAGUAAUACAUCGGAACGUGCCCGAUCGUGGGGGAUAACGCAGCGAAAGCUGUGCUAAUACCGCAUACGAUCUACGGAUGAAAGCGGGGGAUCGCAAGACCUCGCGCGGACGGAGCGGCCGAUGGCAGAUUAGGUAGUUGGUGGGGUAAAGGCCUACCAAGCCGACGAUCUGUAGCUGGUCUGAGAGGACGACCAGCCACACUGGGACUGAGACACGGCCCAGACUCCUACGGGAGGCAGCAGUGGGGAAGUUUGGACAAUGGGCGCAAGCCUGAUCCAGCCAUGCCGCGUGCAGGAUGAAGGCCUUCGGGUUGUAAACUGCUUUUGUACGGAACGAAAAGACUCUGGUUAAUACCUGGGGUCCAUGACGGUACCGUAAGAAUAAGCACCGGCUAACUACGUGCCAGCCGCCGCCGUAACAC
rnacentral:rRNA from 1 species